UCAACGCUAGUCUCUUGCUCUCACUCUCGUCGACGGCCCAUCGGUCUCCUCUCAUCGACUAACCAUCGGCCACCGUCGCUUAUCAUCUCAUCGCCACAAUUGGUACAUCGUCUCAGGCCCAUUAAUUUUGAAUCAGGAUGUUGAGAAACUCAUGGUUUUACCCCUAGAAAAGGUUUUACUCAUAUGGAUGAAUUUCCAAUUGAAGAAAGCAGGAUACAAGUAAUAGGUUUCAAAUUUGUCAUCUGAUCUGAAGGCUUUGUGCACUGGUAAAGCCUAUGCUCACUUGCUUAAUGCUCUUGCACCAGAACAUGGUAAUGCUAGCACAUUGGAUACUAAGGAUCCUACUGAAAGAGCGAAUUUGAUUCUUGAGCAUGCAGAGAGAAUG